GACGAACGCUGGCGGCGUGCUUAAUACAUGCAAGUCGAACGGAAAGGCCCUGCUUUUGUGGGGUGCUCGAGUGGCGAACGGGUGAGUAACACGUGAGUAACCUGCCCUUGACUUUGGGAUAACUUCAGGAAACUGGGGCUAAUACCGGAUAGGAGCUCCUGCUGCAUGGUGGGGGUUGGAAAGUUUCGGCGGUUGGGGAUGGACUCGCGGCUUAUCAGCUUGUUGGUGGGGUAGUGGCUUACCAAGGCUUUGACGGGUAGCCGGCCUGAGAGGGUGACCGGCCACAUUGGGACUGAGAUACGGCCCAGACUCCUACGGGAGGCAGCAGUGGGGAAUAUUGCACAAUGGGCGGAAGCCUGAUGCAGCAACGCCGCGUGCGGGAUGACGGCCUUCGGGUUGUAAACCGCUUUCGCCUGUGACGAAGCGUGAGUGACGGUAAUGGGUAAAGAAGCACCGGCUAACUACGUGCCAGCAGCCGCGGUGAUACGUAGGGUGCGAGCGUUGUCCGGAUUUAUUGGGCGUAAAGGGCUCGUAGGUGGUUGAUCGCGUCGGAAGUGUAAUCUUGGGGCUUAACCCUGAGCGUGCUUUCGAUACGGGUUGACUUGAGGAAGGUAGGGGAGAAUGGAAUUCCUGGUGGAGCGGUGGAAUGCGCAGAUAUCAGGAGGAACACCAGUGGCGAAGGCGGUUCUCUGGGCCUUUCCUGACGCUGAGGAGCGAAAGCGUGGGGAGCGAACAGGCUUAGAUACCCUGGUAGUCCACGCUGUAAACGGUGGGUACUAGGUGUGGGGUCCAUUCCACGGGUUCCGUGCCGUAGCUAACGCUUUAAGUACCCCGCCUGGGGAGUACGGCCGCAAGGCUAAAACUCAAAGGAAUUGACGGGGCCCCGCACAAGCGGCGGAGCAUGCGGAUUAAUUCGAUGCAACGCGUAGAACCUUACCUGGGUUUGACAUGGAUCGGGAGUGCUCAGAGAUGGGUGUGCCUCUUUUGGGGUCGGUUCACAGGUGGUGCAUGGCUGUCGUCAGCUCGUGUCGUGAGAUGUUGGGUUAAGUCCCGCAACGAGCGCAACCCUUGUUCACUGUUGCCAGCACGUUAUGGUGGGGACUCAGUGGAGACCGCCGGGGUCAACUCGGGGGAAGGUGGGGAUGACGUCAAGUCAUCAUGCCCCUUAUGUCCAGGGCUUCACGCAUGCUACAAUGGCUGGUACAGAGAGUGGCGAGCCUGUGAGGGUGAGCGAAUCUCGGAAAGCCGGUCUCAGUUCGGAUUGGGGUCUGCAACUCGACCUCAUGAAGUCGGAGUCGCUAGUAAUCGCAGAUCAGCAACGCUGCGGUGAAUACGUUCCCGGG
rnacentral:rRNA from 1 species